CCAUUUAGUUCUAAAUUAAUUACUUUAACUGUUGCAGAUGAGAUUAUCAGGAUACUUUUUUAGGACACAGGGCCGACACCCUCUGAGGGCGAACCAGCCCGGAGGUUAAACAGAGAGAUUGUGGACCGAAGGAUAGAGAAGAGAAACAGACACAUUAAUCAUCUUCAGAGGAAAUGACCUGUAAAAAUGACAAUCAAUAUCUAUCCAAAUAUUAGCUCACACACCCCAUCAGCGCUCUCACUCUCAGUCUGAAUUGCUUAAUCAUUGACUGCGACUCAGUGGCACAAUUUAAGUGGACUUUAGUAGACUGUCUGUCUGUCUGUUGGCACACACACACAAACACACCCUCCUAUAGCUGCUUUGUAGUUUCCAAAUGUAACCAGUUUAUCCAUUAAUGUCCUGAUUCUUCACUGACUUAUUGAUUGUUGCUAUCACUUUUUUGAGAACAAUGGCCAAUGGCUGAUCUAUUCAGAAUUCCACUGUCAGCUCUGCACUGAUGGUGCAACAUUCCCUCUGGCGAACAUAUCUGAGGUCUUGGUACUAUAAACAUUUUUGCUGUUCUGCUGCUUUGCCCAUUUAAAUACCCCCCUCUUCCUCCUGAUAUGUAGUAAUAUGUAGAGAUGAUGACCUAUUGAUUUCUGCUGGAGGGAUGUUUGACAAGCAGGCGGCAGCUGGAACACACUCAGCUCAUUCAUACUGCUGUUUUGCGCACCCCCUCCAUCCUUCCAACAACGCCCAGUCUUCUCAGAUCCACCACCGCCCAGUCUUCACAGCUGAUCCGACUUCAUCAGCCACCGCCAGCGUUUGAGAUCCAUGAGUGGAUUUUUCUUGCUGCUGCUUGGGGCAGUUGUCCCUCUAAUAAACAUUUUCUUUACUCCA